GUGUGAAUUGCAGAAUCCCGUGAAUCAUCGAGUCUUUGAACACAAGUUGCGCCCGAGGCCUCGGCCGACAGGCGUCUGCCUGGGCGUCGCACA
rnacentral:rRNA from 1 species